CUGGCUCAGGACGAACGCUGGCGGCGUGCUUAACACAUGCAAGUCGAACGAUGAA
rnacentral:rRNA from 1 species